rnacentral:rRNA from 1 species
AUUGAACGCUGGCGGAAGGCCUAACACAUGCAAGUCGCGUGGAGCGGCGGACGGGUGAGUAAUGCCUAGGAAUCUGCCUGGUAGUGGGGGAUAACGUCCGGCAACGGUCGCUAAUACCGCAUACUAUCAGAUGAGCCUUGGUCGGAUUAGCUAGUUGGUGGGGUAAAGGCCUACCAAGGCGACGAUCAGUAACUGGUCUGUGAGUGUGAGUAGUCACACUGGAACUGAGACACGGUCCCGACUCCUACGGGAGGCAGCAUUGUGGAGUAUUGGACAAUUGGCUAAAGCCUGAUCCAGCCUUGCCGCGUGUUUAAAGAAGGUCUUCGGAUUGUAAGGCACUUUAAGUUGGGAGGCGUUACCAGAAGAAUGAGCACCGGCUAACUUCGUGCCAGCGGCCACGGUAAUAC